UACAGGGGGUGCAAACGUUGCUCGGAAUCAUUGGGCGUAAAGCGCACGUAGGCGGUUCGUUAUGUCGGAUGUGAAAGCCCUUGGCUUAACCGAGGAAGUGCAUCCGAAACUGGCGAGCUAGAGUACUAAAGAGGAUCGCGGAAUUCCCGGUGUAGAGGUGAAAUUCGUAGAUAUCGGGAGGAACACCGGUGGCGAAGGCGGCGAUCUGGGUAGAUACUCACGCUGAGGUGCGAAAGCGUGGGGAGCAAACAGG
rnacentral:rRNA from 1 species